UACAGAGGGGGCAAGCGUUGUUCGGAAUUACUGGGCGUAAAGGGCGCGUAGGCGGCCGCCUAAGUCAGACGUGAAAUCCCUCGGCUCAACCGGGGAACUGCGUCUGAUACUGGGUGGCUUGAAUCCGGGAGAGGGAUGCGGAAUUCCAGGUGUAGCGGUGAAAUGCGUAGAGUAUCUGGAGGAACACCGGUGGCGAAGGCGGCAUCCUGGACCGGCAUUGACGCUGAGGCGCGAAAGCCAGGGGAGCAAAGCGGG
rnacentral:rRNA from 1 species